GGAUAAGGACAGGAGUGGGGAGGGCACUGAGUUUAUCUAGGUGGUACACACAACCCUAGGCUAUAGGUCUGGCCACGUCUUUCGGCCACUAAGGGCAGUCCUUUAUAAGGUGUUGGGUGCUUUCGCACCGAUAGCAGGCAUGAUUGAUACACUGAUAGAGUAAUUCACCAUUUGAGCGACCAAAAUUUUAUCAUCGUUAGGAAGGUUGCUGGAGCAGGGGGAAGGGCAACUCAGGUUCGUUUAUCUGGGUCGCUAUUUACUGGGUCGAACAAUCUUCUUUUGGGUUGUUGGAGUUGUUGUUGUUGGGUACGAACUCGAACAAUGCAUUGGUGCCUGGCCGAGAUGAGGUCUUUGGUCAACU
rnacentral:lncRNA from 1 species